rnacentral:rRNA from 1 species
UACGUAGGGUGCAAGCGUUAAUCGGAAUUACUGGGCGUAAAGCGUGCGCAGGCGGUGAUGUAAGACAGAUGUGAAAUCCCCGGGCUUAACCUGGGAACUGCAUUUGUGACUGCAUGGCUGGAGUGCGGCAGAGGGGGAUGGAAUUCCGCGUGUAGCAGUGAAAUGCGUAGAUAUCAGGAGGAAUACCGAUGGCGAAGGCAGCCCCCUGGGUUGAUACUGACGCUCAUGCACGAAAGCGUGGGGAGCAAACAGG